GAUAGCUCAGUUGGUAGAGCAAUCGGCUGUUAACCGAUCGGUCGUAGGUUCGAGUCCUACUUC
rnacentral:tRNA from 1 species